GAUGAACGCUGGCGGCGUGCUUAAUACAUGCAAGUCGAACGAGGGACUUCUGUCUUCGGAUGGAGGUUUCCUAGUGGCGAACGGGUGAGUAACGCGUUGGUGACCUGCCCCGAAGUGGGGGAUAACAGUUCGAAAGGACUGCUAAUACCUCAUGUGAUCAGCUGGAUUAGAUGCCUAUUGAUUAAAGGCGAAAGCCGCUUUGGGAGGGGCCUGCGUCCCAUCAGCUAGUUGGUAGGGUAAUGGCCUACCAAGGCGAUGACGGGUAGGGGACCUGAGAGGGUGGCCCCCCACACUGGCACUGAAACACGGGCCAGACACCUACGGGUGGCAGCAGUAGGGAAUAUUGGUCAAUGGGCGGAAGCCUGAACCAGCCAUGCCGCGUGCAGGAAGGAGGCCCUACGGGUUGUAAACUGCUUUUACCCGGGAAGAAACCGCCCCCUGUGGGGGGCGUUGCCGGUACCGGGGAAAAGGAUCGGCUAACUCCGUG
rnacentral:rRNA from 1 species